rnacentral:snoRNA from 1 species
GAGCGAUGAUGUGAAUUUACCAAACCUAAAGUGUAUUUGAUAAAAAAUACAUUUCAUGAUGGUUUCUACACUUGAACUGAGCUCU